rfam:Picea glauca, whole genome shotgun sequence.
CUAAGGCCCCUAAAUGACCACUCAGUGAUGAAGGAAGUACGAGUGCAAAGACAGCCAGGAGGUUUGCCUAGAAGCAGCCAACCUUGAAAGAGUGCAUAAUAGCUCACUGAUAGAGCGCUCUUGCAUUGAAUAUGAACGGGACUAAUAAAUCUACCAAAGCUAUGGGAUGUAAAAAUACAUCGGUAGGGGAGUGUUCCGCCUUAGAGGGAAGCACCGGCGCAAGUAGGUGUGGACGAAGCAGAAGCGAGAAUGUCAGCUUGAGUAACGCAAACAUUGGUGAGAAUCCAAUGCCCUGAAAACCUAAGGGUUCCUCCGCAAGGUUCGUCCACGGAGGGUGAGUCAAGGCCUAAUAUCAGGCCGAAAGGUGUAGUCGAUGGACAAUAGCUUAAUAUUCCUGUACUGCCCCUUGUUGGUCCCGAGGGACGGAGGAGGCUAGGUUAGCCAAAAGAUGGUUAUCGGUUCAAGGACGUAAGGUGACCCUUCUUUUCUCAGGGUAAGAAGGGGUAGAGAAAAUACCUCGAGCCAAUGUCCGAGUACCAAGUGCUAUAGCGAUGAAGUAACCCAUGCCAUACUCCCAGGAAAAGCUCGAACGACCUUUAACAAAUGGGUACCURUACCCGAAACYGACACAGGUAGGUAGGUAGAGAAUACCUAGGGGCACGAGACAACUCUCUCUAAAGAACUCAGCAAAAUAUCCCUGUAACUUCGAGAGAAGGGGUGCCUCCUUAGGAGGACGCAAUGACCAGGCCUGGGCGACUGUUUACCAAAAACACAGGUCUCCGYAAAGUUGUAAGACCAUGUAUGGGGGCUGAUGCCUGCCCAGUGCUGGAAGGUUAAGGAAGUUGGUGACCUGAUGAUGAGGAAGCCAGCGACCGAAGCCCUGGUGAAUGACGACCGUAACUAUAACGGUCCUAAGGUAGCAAAAUUCCUUGUCGGGUAAGUUCUGACCCGCACGAAAGGCGUAACGAUAUGGGCACUGUCUCGGAGAGAGACUCGGUGAAAUAGACAUGUCUGUGAAGAUGCGAACUACCUGCACCUGGACAGAAAGAUCCUAUGAAGCUUUAUUGUUCCCUGGGAUUGUCUUUGGGUUCUUCUUGCGCAGCUUAGGUGGAAGGCGAAGAAGGCUCCCUCUCGGGGGAGCCUGAGCCACCAGUGAGAUACCACUCUGGAAGAGAUAGAAUUAUAACCUUGUGUUAGGACCUACAGACCAAGGGAUAGUCUCAGGUAGAUAGUUUCUAUGGGGCGUAGGCCUCCCAAAAGGUAACAGAGGUGUGCAAAGGUUUCCUCGGGCCGGACGGAAAUCGGCCCUUGAGUGCAAAGGCAGAAGGGAGCUUGAAUGCAAGACCCACCCUUCGAGCAGGGAUGAAAGUCGGCCUUAGUGAUAUGACGGUGCCAAGUGGAAGGGUCGUCGCUCAACAGAUAAAAGUUACUCUAGGGAUAACAGGCUGAUCUUCCCCAAGAGUUCACAUCGACGGGAAGGUUUGGCACCUCGAUGUCGGCUCUUCGCCACCUAGGGCGGUGUUAUGUUCCAAGGGUUAGGUUUUUCUCCCAUUAAAGUGGUAUGUGAGCUGGGUUCAGAACGUCGUGAGACAGUUCGGUCCAUAUCUGGUGUAGGCAUUAGAGAAUUGAGAGGACCUUUCCCUAGUACGAGAGGACCGAGAAGGACGCACCUCUGGUGUAGCAGUUAUCAUGCCCAUGGUAGACGCUAGGUAGCCAAGUGUAGAGCGGAUAACUACUGAAAUCAUAUACAUAGGAAGCCCACCCCAAGAUGAGUGCUCUCCUAUUCUUACUUCCCUGAGAGCGCUAGUCGCAAACACGGCUGGGACAACGACGGGUUCUCUGUCCUUACAGGGGAUGGAGUGACAAAAGUAUUGAGAAUCCAAGAUAAGGUCACGACGAGAUGAGUCAUUUAUCAUUAGGAUAGGUGUCAAGUGGAAGUGAAGUGAUGUAUGCAGCUGAGGCAUCCUAAUAGACCAAGAUAUUUGAACCU